rnacentral:rRNA from 1 species
UUCCAGACUCCUACGGGAGGCAGCAGUGGGGAAUAUUGGGCAAUGGGCGAGAGCCUGACCCAGCAACGCCGCGUGAAGGAAGAAGGCUUUCGGGUUGUAAACUUCUUUUGACAGGGAAGAGCAGAAGACGGUACCUGUCGAAUAAGCCACGGCUAACUACGUGCCAGCAGCCGCGGUAAUACGUAGGUGGCAAGCGUUGUCCGGAUUUACUGGGUGUAAAGGGCGUGUAGCCGGGCUGACAAGUCAGAUGUGAAAUCCGGGGGCUCAACCCCCGAACUGCAUUUGAAACUGUUUUUCUUGAGUACUGGAGAGGCAGACGGAAUUCCUAGUGUAGCGGUGAAAUGCGUAGAUAUUAGGAGGAACACCAGUGGCGAAGGCGGUCUGCUGGACAGCAACUGACGCUGAGGCGCGAAAGCGUGGGGAGCAAACAGGAUUAGAUACCCGUGUAA